ACAGACAUCCUUUUGGCUGAGUUCUGCUGCCUGAAAACUUCUGUCAAAACACAGAAUCGUUUCUGGAAGUGAGACGAUUGAACUGGUUUCUUGCCAACAGGUGUCCCAGAAGGAGCGUUCGCAGCUCCCUGGAGGCGGGAACGGAGUCCCCCGGGGAGAGAGUGGUCCAGGGUUUGCCCUCAGGCGUCCACACUGUCCGCCGGCGAGGCUGGUCCUGUUCCCAGCACCCACGCUGCUAGAGCCACCGGAUCUCCCAGGAGGAGACCCAGCUGCACUCAGAAGAAUCACGCUGGCCUAGGAGAUGGACGGCGGCGUGCGGGGUGAGGAAUAAAAGUCCUGCUGGUGCUGCCCGAGGCCCGGGUUGUGUGGACGGCGGGGGGCGGCACCGGUCUCUCAGUGCCCGGGUUCUGUCUACGUUCUGCCGCCUCCCUGGCCGUACCCGUACCGCUAUUAAGAGGGAUAUGUUCACCGCUGCCCCACCCAUAGAAAACAGACUCUGUGGUGCCCGUGAAAACACACGUUGGUGAGACUGGCACGCCCAUGUCACGUGGCCUCAUGAUCACUCCGGGCUAGGCCCAAUUUCCAAAUAAGGGUGUGCCCACGGGUGCUGGGUCAGGACCCCUCGAUUGUCACCCAAGAAGCCGUGCCGGGCUCUGGCCUAUGCGACCUGUGGUCGUCUGUUACAGUAGCGGGAAGCAGCCUGGGGCCGUGGAGCUGUGCGGGGGCAGAGCUGGCUCCUGGGGUUUGAGGGAACGAGGGCCUCAGAGGGGGUCUGUGGAAGACGGGAUCUGGGCAGCCCCUUGCUGGACGCUGAGCAACGUCGGACUGCAGCUUCCUGCCGGGACCUGACAUGCAAACAGCAGAAACCAUGGGGGCGCGACGCACUUGCUGGGGCAGGCGGGGUGGGCAGCCUGGCGCCAAUCACCUCGGCUCUGCAGCCUGGAGCGGACGGGGCAGGGGGCUUCUGCUGCAUCCGAGGGCCGAGCGUGGCUUUCCAUUCCCAGCCAACGGGUCUGGAAAGCAGACCGCACGGGUCCAAUAAUCAAUCAUCCACUUAAUCAAUUAGGAGUAUGCUAAUGCAGGAGGAUGGCGGGCGGCACUGCACAGGGCCCGGGCUGGAUGCUGGUCCCCUAAUCAGUGGCAGGUGAAGGGGCUGGGGCGGGCCGGGGGCGUCUCCGUGCUUAGAGGGAGAGGAUGCCCGGACGUGGGCCUGGGGGCUCAGCCAGCCGCCUGCCCGCGAGAGGAGGCGCCGCUUUGUCCCGCAGUUACCCUGUAGGGAGGGCUUUCCUGGGUUGUCUGUCACUCAGCGCCAAGCGAGGCAGUUUCAGGGAACAUUUUCAUCACUUCUAAGACCUGGAGAGUGCACUGAGUCCAGCCUCGAAACGAUCCCUGCUUUUCAUCACAGAGGGUGAGUCUGCUGACUUUUGCCUGCAAACCCUGAGAUGCGGUGACAUAAAAAGUGAGAAAAUCGCCAUUCCCUCUCAGCAGCGCAGGACCGUGUGCGGCUGCAAAGCUGAGCUGUCGUCUUGCCUGUGGCUUCCGAAAUGCAGCCCUGGGCCCUGUGAUCGCUGCAUUUUCUCUGCGCAGCUUUGAGGGACGGAGUGUGCUGACCAACAGAAGAAAGGCAAACAGCAGAAACUGACACUGUGGUGGCCACUGGACGUGGCCUCGGUCGGCUGCGGAGAGAGAAUUUAUUUCCACAGCGACCCUCAGGAGGCGCAGGUCUUGGCCAGACCCAUUCUUAGAAAGGAACAUGAGAUCAGAAAGGCUUGUGUGUUGUUUUAAAACAAACCCUGCAUCCACUGCUCACCUAGUCCUCUGUGAGGCAGGUGACACCUCCUCCUGAAGAGAAUCGGGGCGUCCCGCAACUACCCCACUCUUCCCACUGCCUGUGCAGUGCAGAGCAGGACACACCUGCAGGGGCCAGGGGACAAGCGCUGGGUUCCGUAGAACGGUCCUGGGUCCUGUAGAGGGGUCCUGGGUUCUGUAGAGGGGCCCUGGGUUCUAUAGAGGGGCCCUGGGUCCUGUAGAGGGGUCCUGGGUUCUACAGAGGGGCCCUGGGUCCUGUAGAGGGGUCCUGGGUUCUGUAGAGGGGUCCUCGGUUCUGUAGAGGGGUCCUGGGUUCUGUAGAGGGGUCCUGGGUUCUAUAGAGGGGUCCUGGGUUCUGUGGAGGGGUCCUGGGUUCUGUAGAUGGGUUCUGGGUUCUGUAGAAGGGUCCUGGGUUCUGUAGAGGGGUCCUGGGUUCUGUAGAUGGGUUCUGGGUUCUGUAGAGGGGUCCUGAGUUCUGUAGAGGGGUCCUGAGUUCUGUAGAGGGGUCCUGGGUUCUGUAGAGGGGUCCUGAGUUCUGUAGAGGGGCCCUGGGUUCUGUAGAGGGGUCCUGGGUUCUGUAGAGGGGUCCUGGGUUCUGUAGAGGGGUCCUGGGUUCUAUGGAGGGGUCCUGCGUUCUGUAGAGGGGUCCUGGGUUCUGUAGAGGGGUCCUGAGUUCUGUAGAUGGGUUCUGGGUUCUGUAGAGGGGUCCUGAGUUCUGUAGAGGGGUCCUGGGUUCUAUGGAGGGGUCCUGCAUUCUGUAGAGGGGUCCUGGGUUCUGUAGAGGGGUCCUGAGUUCUGUAGAGGGGCCCUGGGUUCUGUAGAGGGGCCCUGGGUUCUAUGGAGGGGUCCCUGGGUUCUGUGGAGGGGCCCUGGGUUCUGUGGAAGGGUCCUGGGUUCUAUGGAGGGGUCCUGGGUUCUGUGGAAGGGUCCUGGGUUCUGUGGAGGGGUCCUGGGUUCUGUGGAGGGGCCCUGGGUUCUGUGGAGGGUCCCUGGGUUCUGUGGAGGGGUCCUGCGUUCUGUGGAGGGGCCCUGGGUUCUAUGGAGGGGUCCCUGGGUUCUGUGGAGGGUCCCUGGGUUCUGUGGAGGGGCCCUGGGUUCUAUGGAGGGGUCCUGGGUUCUAUGGAGGGGUCCUGGGUUCUGUGGAGGGGUCCCUGGGUUCUGUGGAGGGGCCCUGGGUUCUGUGGAGGGGCCCUGGGUUCUGUGGAGGGGCCCUGGGUUCUGUGGAGGGGUCCCUGGGUUCUGUGGAGGGGCCCUGUGUUCUGUGGAGGGGCCCUGGGUUCUGUGGAAGGGUCCUGGGUUCUGUGGAGGGGCCCUGGGUUCUGUGGAGGGGUCCCUGGGUUCUGUGGAGGGGUCCCGGGUUCUGUGGAGGGGCCCUGACUCAGGGCUUGCCCAGGGGCAUGGGCUUUUCUGGCCGAUACUGCGAGGCCUGGGGCUGACAGCAGAAGAGCACGACCAUGGAGGGAGGAGGCCGGGGCUGUGAGGACCCAGGAGGGCGAGGAGCUAGGCAGGCCAUGCUGGAAGGCCUGUGUGCACCAGGGUCUUCCCGGCAGGGCUGGAGAAGACCCUCCUGGAAGGAACAGGAGGCGAGUGCAGCACCAGGUGCAAUGACCCGUCUUAUCCAUCACUACCUGGCCUGCAGGCCUGGGCUGGGAGGAGGGAGAGCAGGCAGGCCUGGGCUGGGAGGAGGGAGAGCACACAGGCCUGGGCUGGGAGGAGGGAGAGGGGUGUGCAGCUUUGCCUGCUGGCUUCCAUGUCUGCAGUGAGCCCAAGGGCCAGGAUGGUGUGGGGGAGACGCCCCCUCCAGCCAGUACCCCUGGGGCCCUGGCCCCUACUGGCUUGUCUAGUGGGAAAGGACCUUCCCAUGCACCCUGACUGGGCUUGUCAGUCCCCCUUUGUGCCUCCUGCAGAUGGAGAUGAGGGUGCAGUCGAAGCGCCCGGUGCCUGUGAGUGAGGACCCUCCCGAGCCCCUCGCUCUCCUCCGGGGACACAGGGCACCUCUGACUGCAGGCGCAGGGAGGAAGGUUGCUGUGGUCCUGGCGGCCCCUGCCGGUUUCCCAGCCUUGCUCUUUCCGCGGUUGCUUGUGGAUUGGAGUCAACCUGGGCGCCCACCUACUGGAGUCCACUGGGGUGGGCGUGGGUGGAGGGGGCCUUCUGCAGAGCUAGUGGGGUGUUGUGGGGGCCGGUGUGCGGGUGCUCGGUGCAGGCCACCAUGUGACAGGCGUGUCCGGCUCAUGCAGGUGGGACUGGGGGAGUCAUGGUUGUGAGGUAGCGAUCGCCUCAAAGGCCUGACUUUCUGGGAAUGGUAUUUUUUUGUCAGAUGUGAGCCUCUUACUAACAGCACAUGCCUCCUUCCCCCUCCCCCACAGCCCCCAUUGCCACAAACGAGGUGAUAGAGGGCAGUCUUCAGCUUGGGGUUCACUGGGAGGCUCCCCCUCUGCGUGGAGAUGGCUCGCUCUGGAAGUUCUGCAGGAGUGGGCUGGCCGCCAAACUCUCAGCACCUGCCGGCAGGGCUGCUGACUCAUGCUGUAAUGGGGACAUUGAUGUGUGAGGAAUUUAUGCAGCCGGGCGGCAGCCCUUCACUUUUCUAACAGUGAAGCACUUCACAGAGAAAACACAACGGGAUCAAAUCACAAUUAGAGUCAGUCCCAGCUCCUGCAGGGCAGCCGCAGCCUGGCGGGCGGGCGAGCACAGGGCCUCCAGCCAGCCGGUGGGGGGGAGGUUGGGAGGGCAGGGCCAGAGCUCACCCCAUAACCUGGCUUACUGGGGUGCAGGGAACAGCACGGGCAGCCUUGGGCCGAACAACCACCCCACGUUUGAUCUGGCAGAGGAACGUCCCUCUUGGUACGGCUCGUCCUGAGCACCUGCGACUGGUUGCACGGUGUUGCUUCAGCUCAGGGCGCCCUGGAAUCAGCUGCACCGUGUCCACCUCACAGCAGUCCCCAGCUCCAGAUCCUCCAGGCAGGGACCUGGGACGGUGUGGGGCGGGGCUGAGGCUCUCUGGCAGUCUGAGGCGCUGGCCGGGGCCUCACCCGAUGGCCCUCCCGCUCCAGCCUCCAGAUGCCUGCCUGGCCUUAGAGAACAAAGGUAAUUUGUAAAGAGAUCAAUAGGAAAUGCUGAUCAGACAGUCACAAUGCGCCUUUGCCUGAGGACUUGAAUUCCCGCUUCAAGAAUCUGUGGCUUCCGCUGCUCAAUGCUGGGGACAGACGUCAGGGGACUGUGGACGUCAUCGGCCGAGUGACUAUUUCCUUAUGACCAGCCUCUCUCCGAGCUGAUUUUCCUGUUCUGUGCUCUCUCAGCCAAGCUGUUUGAGGUUUGGCUCAGGAAACUAGGCCAACAAUGGAAUUCAAAGACAAUCCCACCAAAGAGAAAACCAGCAGGGUGGGCGACGCCUGGGCUCCAAGAACCGGUGGGGAGCUCCAUUUCCCUCAGAUGGAGCGUUUCCUAACCCCGGGGCAACUUUCCCGAAACAUGGCAGGCUUGCCUGACCCAAAUAGCCCCUCAUUCUUGGCUGCACUUGUGACCACCGGGCCGAGCUCCUCGGAGGCGUGGACAAAGGAGGCCUUGGCGAGAACAGGGUUCGGUGGCCAGUGGGUGGAGAAGUCGGUGCUGGCUGCGCCGUGGAGCCCGUGGAUCAACAUUUGCUGAGGACCUCAGUGCGGAAAGUCGUGGUCGCACUUCCUUCCGGGUCUGCUGAGCUGCCACUCACGGCGGGAGAGUUGGGACGUCCUGGAAUUCUGGAAAGCCUCCUGCUCUGAAGGAGUUCAAGGUUUUCCUGUCCGGUCUGACAUCCCCAGACGUUUGCCCUGCUAGGGCUGGAGAAAGGUGUCCAGGCAUUGAAGGAACAAUUUGAGGGACAAUCUGGCUUUUUUUUUUUUAACAGUUCUUUUCUAAACACCUCAGAAUGAAUGAAACAAAGUCCUAUUUAUCACUAGAGAUGAAGACACAUCCCUGAUUUACGUUGCCACGUGGGGAGAAGUGCUUUGUUUCUACUCAGCAGAAGGAGACAGGGGCAGGCGGGAGGAGCUGUCUCAGGAACACCAGCCUGGGUUUCCCACCCUCCCUGCUGUGGCUCUCAGCUGAUCCGAGGCUGGCCCAGGAGAGGAGGGAAGCAUGCCUGAGACUGCUCUGUCUUUCUGCUCCAGCAACAGAGAGCCAAAGAAAAGACACGAGGCCCAAAGUAUCACCUUCUAAAUCACCUCCCUCAGCUACUCCCCCAGGAUUUCCAAAUACCCAGGUUCCCCUCGGGAGCUGCCUGGAGCUGCCUCUGCCGCCCGCUCCUCUAGGCGUCCAUGAUGAGCCCAGGGCUUCCCCCUCAGGAACCAAACCGAACUGACUGUCUUGGUUUUCUCCUUGUUCUCCACGAAUCCUCUGCACAUUUUAACCUUCCAGGCAGCAGCUAUGAAUCCGUUCCCAGAGCCAGGCUAGACAAUACAACACCCAUUUCCCAGCUGCUUGCAGCUCUUGCAUUAGCUGGGAAGCAGAUUUACCUUAAGGGAAUUUACCACCCUUAGAAUUUUUUUUUUUUAGAAAAAUAUACAUUUUUUCUUUCCUUUUAAAAAAGCCUUCAGGCUCUUGCUAACUUCACAACUGGAGCCCUAUCAGAAAAAGGCAAGUUGUCAAAUGGCAAAUAUGAAGUCCAUGUUGUUGAAUUGUGAGCGCCGGGGGAGAAUAGAGGGGGCUGUGGAGCUGUCUCGGGGUCAGAGCCCUGCGGAGACGCCAGGGCUGGGCGGGCCUGAGACCUCCGCCUGCAGUCAGCAAGGCCCCCUUGGCUGAUGGACCUGAGAAUUUCUGUGUUACUUCUUUUUAUUUCUGCAUGCUUCACGUCACACAAUUUUCGAAAAGUGGCAAUAGAACCAAAUGAUAAAAGCAAUUCUAGGAUAGAGCGUCUUGCUUUCAUAUGAACAGCAUUCCAUCUAAGACGGUUCAACACUUCCUAAUUCCUGUCCACCAUCUUCAGGGUUCCUUGGAGUGGUGGCCCCCUGGUGACCAGCUGGCACAGUGAUUUGAUCAUGUCCUCACAGCUCCUG
rnacentral:lncRNA from 1 species